UACGUAGGGUGCAAGCGUUGUCCGGAAUUAUUGGGCGUAAAGGGUGCGUAGGCGGCAUGAUAAGUUAUUGGCGGCAAAUCGAGGCUCAACCUCGUGGAAACUGAUAAUACUGUCUUGCUUGAGUGCAGAAGAGGUUAACGGAACUCCAUGUAGAGCGGUAAAAUGUGUAGAUAUAUGGAAGAACAUCAAUAACGGCGAAGGCAGUUAACUAUUCUGUUACUGACGUGAGGCACGAAAGCGUGGGGAGCAAAACGG
rnacentral:rRNA from 1 species